UACGAAGGGGGCUAGCGUUGCUCGGAAUUACUGGGCGUAAAGCGCGCGUAGGCGGCUUUCUAAGUCGGGGGUGAAAUCCUGGAGCUCAACUCCAGAACUGCCUUCGAUACUGGAAAGCUCGAGUCCGGGAGAGGUGAGUGGAACUGCGAGUGUAGAGGUGAAAUUCGUAGAUAUUCGCAAGAACACCAGUGGCGAAGGCGGCUCACUGGCCCGGUACUGACGCUGAGGUGCGAAAGCGUGGGGAGCAAACAGG
rnacentral:rRNA from 1 species